rnacentral:tRNA from 1 species
GGGCGAGUAGCUCAGUUGGGAGAGCACCGCGUUCGCAAUGCGGGGGUCGAGGGUUCGAAUCCCUUCUCGUCCACCA